rnacentral:rRNA from 1 species
CCUACGGGAGGCAGCAGUGGGGAAUAUUGGGCAAUUGAGGAAACUCUGACCCAGCAACGCCGCGUGAAUGAUGACGGUCUUCGGAUUGUAACGUUCUUUUCUAAGGGAAGAAGAAAGUGACGGUACCUUAGGAAUAAGCCUCGGCUAACUACGUACCAGCAGACGCGGUAAUAAGUAGGAGGCGAGCGUUAUCCGGAAUGACUGGACGUAAAGGGUGCGUAGGUGGUUUGGCAAGUUAGUAGCGUAACUCCAAGGAUCAACCUUGGAACUACUACGAAAACUGGUGGACUUGAGUGCAGGAGGGGCAACAGGAAUUCCUAGUGUAGCGGUGGAAGGCGUAGAUAUUAGGAGGAACACCAGUGGCGAAGGCGGGUUGCUAGACUGUAACUGACACUGAGGCACGAAAGCGUGGGGAGCAAACCGGAUUAGAUACCCGAGUAGUC